AUACGUAGGGUGCGAGCGUUGUCGGGAAUUACUGGGCGUAAAGAGCUCGUAGGUGGUUUGUCGCGUCGUCUGUGAAAUUCCGGGGCUUAACUCCGGGCGUGCAGGCGAUACGGGCAUAACUUGAGUACUGUAGGGGAGACUGGAAUUCCUGGUGUAGCGGUGAAAUGCGCAGAUAUCAGGAGGAAAACCGGUGGCGAAGGCGGGUCUCUGGGCAGUAACUGACGCUGAGGAGCGAAAGCAUGGGUAGCGAACAGGAUUAGAUACCCUGGUAGUCCAUGCCGUAAACGGUGGGCGCUAGGUGUAGGGGUCUUCCACGACUUCUAUGCCGUAGCUAACGCAUUAAGCGCCCCGCCUGGGGAGUACGGCCGCAAGGCUAAAACUCAAAGGAAUUGACGGGG
rnacentral:rRNA from 1 species